rnacentral:tRNA from 1 species
GGCCCUGUGGUCAAGCGGUCAAGACGCUGCCCUCUCACGGCAGAAUCGGGGGUUCGAUUCCCCCCAGGGUCACCA